AGUGAGGCAAGCCGAGGUCAGUGGGAAGGAGAAGCAGCAAAGUCAAAACAGUCCAAAUUCAGCAACAGGAAGGAGAAACAGGAACACGCUUGAUUAGAGAGUACAGGAACCACAAUAAUCUGGCAAAGGUACAGAGACAGGAAGUGGCUUUUAUAGGCCAAGAACCAGACACCUGACCAGACACAGCUGAAGAGAGUUGUCAAUGAUAACCUUGACUCUACAAGCAAUAGUAUCAGAUCUCAGGUAAAUUUGCAAAAGGCAGGCUGGUGUACUGGUAAGGAAGAGGUUUAGCACCA